GACGAACGCUGGCGGCGUGCUUAACACAUGCAAGUCGAACGAAGAGCGAUGGAAGCUUGCUUCUAUCAAUCUUAGUGGCGAACGGGUGAGUAACGCGUAAUCAACCUGCCCUUCAGAGGGGGACAACAGUUGGAAACGACUGCUAAUACCGCAUACGAUCUAACCUCGGCAUCGAGGAUAGAUGAAAGGUGGCCUCUACAUGUAAGCUAUCACUAAAGGAGGGGAUUGCGUCUGAUUAGCUAGUUGGAGGGGUAACGGCCCACCAAGGCGAUGAUCAGUAGCCGGUCUGAGAGGAUGAACGGCCACAUUGGGACUGAGACACGGCCCAGACUCCUACGGGAGGCAGCAGUGGGGAAUCUUCCGCAAUCGACGAAAGUCUGACGGAGCAACGCCGCGUGAGUGAUGACGGCCUUCGGGUUGUAAAGCUCUGUUAAUCGGGACGAAAGGCCUUCUUGCGAAUAGUUAGAAGGAUUGACGGUACCGGAAUAGAAAGCCACGGCUAACUACGUG
rnacentral:rRNA from 1 species